GAUGAACGCUGGCGGCGUGCCUAAUACAUGCAAGUCGAGCGAACGGACGAGAAGCUUGCUUCUCUGAUGUUAGCGGCGGACGGGUGAGUAACACGUGGAUAACCUACCUAUAAGACUGGGAUAACUUCGGGAAACCGGAGCUAAUACCGGAUAAUAUUUUGAACCGCAUGGUUCAAAAGUGAAAGACGGUCUUGCUGUCACUUAUAGAUGGAUCCGCGCUGCAUUAGCUAGUUGGUAAGGUAACGGCUUACCAAGGCAACGAUGCAUAGCCGACCUGAGAGGGUGAUCGGCCACACUGGAACUGAGACACGGUCCAGACUCCUACGGGAGGCAGCAGUAGGGAAUCUUCCGCAAUGGGCGAAAGCCUGACGGAGCAACGCCGCGUGAGUGAUGAAGGUCUUCUGAUCGUAAAACUCUGUUAUUAGGGAAGAACAUAUGUGUAAGUAACUGUGCACAUCUUGACGGUACCUAAUCAGAAAGCCACGGCUAACUACGUG
rnacentral:rRNA from 1 species